GAUGAACGCUGGCGGCGUGCCGAAUACAUGCAAGUCGCGCGAAGCGGGGCCGGGUGAGUAAAACGUGGAUAACCUCCUAUAAGACUGGGAUAACUUCUGGAAACCGGAGCUAAACCGGAUAAUUAUAGAUGGAUCCGCGCUGCAUUAGCUAGUUGGUAAGGUAACGGCUUACCAAGGCAACGAUGCAUAGCCGACCUGCGAGGGUGAUCGGCCACACUGGAACUGAGACACGGUCCAGACUCCUACGGGAGGCAGCAGUAGGGAAUCUUCCUCAAUGGGCGAAAGCCUGACGGCGCAACGCCGCGUGAGUGAUGAAGGUCUUCGGAUCGUAAAACUCUGUUAUUAGGGAAGCGGUACCUAAUCAGAAAGCCACGGCGAACUACGUGCCAGCAGCCGCGGUAAUAC
rnacentral:rRNA from 1 species